rnacentral:rRNA from 1 species
AUUGAACGCUGGCGGCAGGCCUAACACAUGCAAGUCGAGCGGAUGAAGGGAGCUUGCUCCUGGAUUCAGCGGCGGACGGGUGAGUAACGCCUAGGAAUCUGCCUGGUAGUGGGGGAUAACGUCCGGAAACGGGCGCUAAUACCGCAUACGUCCUGAGGGAGAAAGUGGGGGAUCUUCGGACCUCACGCUAUCAGAUGAGCCUAGGUCGGAUUAGCUAGUUGGUGGGGUAAAGGCCUACCAAGGCGACGAUCCGUAACUGGUCUGAGAGGAUGAUCAGUCACACUGGAACUGAGACACGGUCCAGACUCCUACGGGAGGCAGCAGUGGGGAAUAUUGGACAAUGGGCGAAAGCCUGAUCCAGCCAUGCCGCGUGUGUGAAGAAGGUCUUCGGAUUGUAAAGUACUUUAAGUUGGGAGGAAGGGCAGUAAGUUAAUACCUUGCUGUUUUGACGUUACCAACAGAAUAAGCACCGGCUAACUUCGUG